CACACCUGAGAGGGUUAUAAGACCUGCUAACUCUUUAACCUGGCACUAACUAUCCAGCC
rnacentral:tRNA from 4 species